rnacentral:rRNA from 1 species
UACAGAGGGUGCGAGCGUUAAUCGGAAUUACUGGGCGUAAAGCGUGCGUAGACGGUUAUUUAAGUCGGGUGUGAAAGCCCCGGGCUCAACCUGGGAAUUGCAUUCGAGACUGAAUAGCUAGGGUACGGUAGAGGGAAGCGGAAUUUCCGGUGUAGCGGUGAAAUGCGUAGAUAUCGGAAGGAACAUCAGUGGCGAAAGCGGCUUCCUGGACCAGCACCGACGUUCAGGCACGAAAGCGUGGGGAGCAAACAGG